rnacentral:rRNA from 1 species
GCUUAACACAUGCAAGUCGAACGGAGAUAGUAGCAAUAUUGUCUUAGUGGCGAACGGGUGAGUAACGCGUUGGUGACCUGCCCCGAAGAGAGGGAUAACAGUUCGAAAGGACUGAUAAUACCUCAUGUGGUUGUCGGUUUUAGAAUCUGAUAACUAAACGGCGAAAGUCGCUUCGGGAGGGGCCUGCGUCCCAUCAGCUAGUUGGUAGGGUAAUGGCUUACCAAGGCUAUGACGGGUAGGGGACCUGAGAGGGUGGCCCCCCACAAUGGAACUGAAACACGGUCCAUACACCUACGGGUGGCAGCAGUAGGGAAUAUUGGUAAUGUGCGAAAGCGCGAACCAGCAACGCCGCGUGCACGAUGAAGGCCUUCGGGUCGUAAAGUGCUUUUAGAGAGGAUGAGGAAGGACAGUACUUUCUGAAUAAGCCUCGGCUAACUACGUGCCAGCAGCCGCGGUAAUAC